rnacentral:tRNA from 1 species
AAGGAUAUAGUUCAGUGGUAGAGCUCAUGCUUAGCAUGCACAAGAUCCUGGGUUCCAUCCCCAGUACCUCUG